rnacentral:lncRNA from 1 species
CCUCCGUCCAUUUGCAAUAUUUUCUUCUCUUUCAACCUUCAGGCUUCUACCACUAGUGAGCUUCUCAUCUUCUCUUUUGAUAAUUUGAAUUUGUUGUGAACCCACUGUGUUGCUCUCUAACAUCUAUGCCUCUGCUGGUAAAUGGAGUAACGUUGCAAAAGUGAGGAAGAUUAUGAGCAAAAGUGGGGUGAAGAAAGAACCUGCUUGUAGCUGUGUUGAGCUCGAGAAUGCUGUAAACAUUUUCGUGGCAAACGAUAUUACACAUCCACAAAGAGAAGUGAUGUAAAAAGCGGCUAUUUAAUACGUUCGACCCAUUUUGAAUCACCCGCCUGGAAAGUUUCUAUUAAAGGUAAACAAAUCCUGUUUUGCUUUCUCUAAUCUCUUUUCAUUUAUUUCCCUUCGUUAAGAAUUUUCUGUUCUACACGAGCCCUUCAGAAAACAAGGAAAAAAGAAUUGUAAGUUAAUUCUAUCUGAUUUUAAGAUUUUGAUUCUAACUCGUUAUUUCAUAGAUCUUCUGGUUUGUAUUAUAUUUGUGAAUGCGUAUGUGUUAAUUUAAUACGUGGAAGAUAAAUUUAUGGCACUUUGUUCUGUUCUUCCACCCAGAUUCAGACAUGAAUUUUAUGGGCAAUUGUUUUUCUUUUGAACCUAUUCCUUUAUUAAUUUUUAGUUAUACUAAUGGGAAUAUACAGCAUUUUAACGUAUAUUGUCUGUUUAGCUGAAAUGGAUUUAGUUUUUAGAUUUAUACUGAAGCGACUGAAUUAUUUUCAGGAACAAAAUAUCAUACUGCCAAUUUGUACUUUCCCAAUAUUUGUGACAUAAAGUUGGUAAUCCGUGAUUGGAGCACAUCAUCUUGCGAUGAAGUCAAAUGGAUGGCGUCAAGCAUGAAGGAAAAGUUUGAUAAAUAUUGGAGUGGCAUGCAUGAAAUUCUAGCUGUUGUAACUAUAUUGGAUCCUAGAUACAAGAUGAAACUAGUUGAAUACUAUUUUCCUUUGAUUUUUGGAGAUGAAGCUCAGGAAGAGGCUGAAAAGAUUAGAACAUUUUGUCAUAAGUUGCUCAAAGAGUACAAGAGACCACAUCGUUCGACAGAAAAUACAUUUUUGUUUUCAUCAUCUUCACAAUCAAAGUCGUCUACUACUGUUCGAAAACAUUCUCGCAUGGCUGGUUUUGAUAUAUUUGUUAGCCUUUCUAUUACUGCUGAUCAUGUAAAAACAGAGUUCAAUAUUUUUUUUGAUGAGCUAGUAUUGCCAAG